rnacentral:rRNA from 1 species
GGAGGAAAGUAGGGGAUCGAAAGACCUUGCGCUUUUGGAGCGGCCGAUGUCUGAUUAGCUAGUUGGUGGGGUAAGGGCCUACCAAGGCGACGAUCAGUAGUUGGUCUGAGAGGACGACCAGCCACACUGGGACUGAGACACGGCCCAGACUCCUACGGGAGGCAGCAGUGGGGAAUUUUGGACAAUGGGCGCAAGCCUGAUCCAGCAAUGCCGCGUGAGUGAAGAAGGCCCUCGGGUUGUAAAGCUCUUUCAGUCGAGAAGAAAAGGCUGCAGUGAAUAACUGUAGUUUAUGACGGUAUCGACAGAAGAAGCACCGGCUAACUACGUGCCAGCAGCCGCGGUAAUACGUAGGGUGCGAGCGUUAAUCGGAAUUACUGGGCGUAAAGGGUGCGCAGGCGGUUUUGUAAGUCAGAUGUGAAAUCCCCGGGCUUAACCUGGGAAUUGCGUUUGAAACUACAAGGCUAG